rnacentral:lncRNA from 1 species
CAACAGCUGUGCGUAAUGACGUACAACUAUGACGAGUUAACCAACGUCUCUUUUAUUUCCAAAGUACGAGGACCAUUAAUGAUUUAUGUCUUACUGUGGAUUUCAAAAAUCUCUCAAAAUCAGCUCAAUUCGAAUUUAAAAUCCAUUAAUUUCAAAUUCAAAAACCCUAAUUCCUUCUCCUAUAAAUAGAUGUUGGGGGUUAGAGGUGAAGGAGAGGAUUUUUGGGAAAAAAUUGGGGAUUCGGGAGGAGCGUUCCUCUAGUCUCACAUAACCAAAGAAUUCAAGAAGAAAUUUCAUCGAAAAAUCAAUCCCGAUGAAAAGUUGAAAUUUUGACAAGUUGAAAUUGAAACACCGGUGGAACCAAUAUAAAUUUCGAUGGAAUUUCGAUCGUUUAGAGCUCGUCCUGUUCCGUUCACUGCCCAGGAAAAGGUAGUUCCUUUCUAUCAAUCUUCAUAAUGCACGAUUUAUUAAUAUGAAAUUUUCUUGAUUUUAUUGUUUGCCUAGAAGUUGGAAUGAUUCCGACUAUGCAAACCCAUACUUUAGCAUGCUUAUUCGACUAUUUCUCUGGAAACUCGAGCCUGUAAAAUUGUUCUCUUAUCGAUGUUAUUCUGCCUUGUAGUCGCUGUAAGCAUGAGACGUUAUCUAAUCUGGAAUAUUCUCUUUGUUUUCUUUGUUGAAAUUCUAAAAAAAAAAAAAGGAAGGGGUUCUUAUCUUGUUUGAAGUGUAUCCUUUGGUCGCUCCCCUCUUCUAGGUUCAAUAAAAAAUGCCUAAGACUUUAUGUUUAAUUAUAAAACCCCCUUUUGACUUUCCAAAUAUUAUUAACAUAGCCAUGCUUUCUAAUUUGGUUUGUUAUGCGUGAUGACUAACUUUAUUACCCUUUCUUUUUAUAUGCAAAGUGACAUUAAUUAAUUAUUAGUCAUAGUAUUGUGUCGUGGCUUCAAUCCGAGAUCAUGUUUCACUUUGUAUGAUUUUCUUUUUUGUGAUUCAUGUUCAUGCUAGAGUUUAUCUUCUUUGAUGAGAAUGCACUCCAUGAAGGCUGUCUUGGACAGAAUGUUAAAACCAUAUAAUUAGAUGUGUUUCUUUGUUCUAUUUGUCCAUCCAAGGUUUGAUCUUCAUUGCAUCACAUACUAAUCUUUUCUUUUCUUUGCAAUGAAUGAACUACGUGGAUCAACAGGACCUCCCCCUUUCAUUUCGGGGACCAAACCCCCACUUCCUAGAGUCAAAACCUCAAUACCAAGUCCCAAGAUGAUUGUUUUUGCAUUGGUAUACAUCAAUAUACGCAUUGUGAGGACUGGUAUACUGGUGGUAUACGUUGAAAAUGAGCAAAGGAAGCUGGUGAUACAGUUGGGGGACUAAAGUUGUGUAUAAAUGAUUGAAAUACAGUCAUAUAUACACUGUAUAUAUACAAACUAGAAGUGCAAGGCCCGUGUCACGGGCCCAACAGUAAGAACAUGUGUAUUGGAAUUUUUAAGUUUUAGGAUUUAUCUUGGAGUAAAAAGUUUGAGUAGUAGAAUAUUUUCAUUAGUAUGAUUGAGCUGAGGGGAUCACAAUUCAAACCUUUUUUUAACCUUCUUGUUGAAUUUUGCGAUCAGAAAUAUAAAGAAAGAAUAGGCGUAAAUAUGAUGAAAUAGCUUAAAUCAAAUAUCUAGCAGAUUAUUGAUUUUCAAUAUCGCAAAGAUUAAGAAUCAUGUAAACUUACC